CAGCAGCCGCGGUAAUACAGAGGGUGCAAGCGUUAAUUGGAAUUACUGGGCGUAAAGCGCGCGUAGGUGGUUUGUUAAGUUGGAUGUGAAAGCCCCGGGCUCAACCUGGGAACUGCAUCCAAAACUGGCAAGCUAGAGUACGGUAGAGGGUGGUGGAAUUUCCUGUGUAGCGGUGAAAUGCGUAGAUAUAGGAAGGAACACCAGUGGCGAAGGCGACCACCUGGACUGAUACUGACACUGAGGUGCGAAAGCGUGGGGAGCAAACAGGAUUAGAUACCCCUGUAGUCCCUGUCUCUUAUAC
rnacentral:rRNA from 1 species